AAUCAACGCUGGCGGCGUGCCUCAGACAUGCAAGUCGAACGCGAAAGGCUCCUUCGGGGGUACACGAGCGGCGAACGGGUGAGUAACACGUGGGUGACCUGCCCUCAGCUCUGGGAUAAGCCUGGGAAACCGGGUCUAAUACCGGAUAUGACUCCAUGACGCAUGUUGUGGGGUGGAAAGCCUUGUGCGGCUGAGGAUGGGCCCGCGGCCUAUCAGCUUGUUGGUGGGGGAUGGCCUACCAAGGCGACGACGGGUAGCCGGCCUGAGAGGGCGACCGGCCACACUGGGACUGAGACACGGCCCAGACUCCUACGGGAGGCAGCAGUGGGGAAUCUUGCGCAAUGGGCGAAAGCCUGACGCAGCGACGCCGCGUGAGGGAUGACGGCCUGG
rnacentral:rRNA from 1 species